UACGUAGGGUGCGAGCGUUAAUCGGAAUUACUGGGCGUAAAGAGUGCGUAGGCGGUUCGUUAUGUCUGCUGUGAAAGCCCCGGGCUUAACCCGGGAAUGGCAGUGGAAACUGGCGGGCUUGAGUGUGGCAGAGGGGGGUGGAAUUCCGCGUGUAGCAGUGAAAUGUGUUGAUAUCGGAAGGAACGCCGGUGGCGAAAGCGACACACUGGGUCUCAACUGACGCUGAGGCACGAAAGCCAGGG
rnacentral:rRNA from 1 species